rnacentral:rRNA from 1 species
GGGUAAUGGCGUGCCUUUUGUAGAAUGAACCGGCGAGUUGCGUUAGUCAGCAAGGUUAAGUCAGAAAAGACGGAGCCGUAGCGAAAGCGAGUCUGAAGAGGGCGAGCAGUUGGCUGACGCAGACCCGAAACCAAGUGACCUACCCAUGACCAGGUUGAAGGCGCGGUAAAACGCGCUGGAGGACCGAACCCACGUAAGUUGAAAAUUGCGGGGAUGAGUUGUGGGUAGCGGUGAAAUUCCAAACGAACUUGGAGAUAGCUGGUUCUCUCCGAAAUAGCUUUAGGGCUAGCCUCGCAAAGAGGAUGCUGGAGGUAGAGCUCUGUUUGGACUAGGGGCCCGUCAAGGGUUACUGAAUUCAGAUAAACUGCGAAUUCCAGACAUUUAUGUGCGGGAGUCAGACUGCGAGUGAUAAGAUCCGUAGUCGAAAGGGAAACAGCCCAGAUCACCAGUUAAGGUCCCAAAAUUCAUGCUAAGUGGAAAAGGAUGUGGAGUUGCGCAGACAACUAGGACGUUGGCUCAGAAGCAGCCAUCAUUCAAAGAGUGCGUAAUAGCUCACUAGUCGAGUGACGCCGCGCCGAAAAUUUACCGGGGCUAAGCAUGAUACCGAAACUGUGGAUGUGCGUUUAUGCACGUGGUAGGAGAGCGUUCUAGCGGCGGUGAAGCAUGACCGAGAGGACAUGUGGAGCUUCUAGAAGUGAGAAUGCCGGUAUGAGUAACGAAAGACAGGUGAGAAUCCUGUCCGCCGCAAGACUAAGGUUUCCUGGGGCAGGCUCGUCCGCCCAGGGUAAGUCGGGACCUAAGGCGAGGCCGAGAGGCGUAGUCGAUGGACAACAGGUUGAAAUUCCUGUACUGCACCGAAUCGUUAUGAGCGAUGGAGGGACGCAGGAGGCUAGCAGCGCGUGGUGCUGGAUACCACGUUCAAGCGUCAAGUCUGAGAGCGAGUCAAAUGCUUGCUCUCAUAAGGACAAGGCGUGAUGAGGAGCGAAAUUAAAGUAGCGAAGGCUGCGACGUCACACUGCCGAGAAAAGCUUCUAGCCAGAGACGGUGCACCCGUACCGCAAACCGACACAGGUAGUCGAGGAGAGUAUCCUCAGGUGAGCGAGAGAACUCUCGUUAAGGAACUCGGCAAAAUGGCCCCGUAACUUCGGGAGAAGGGGCGCUGGUCGCAAGAUCAGCCGCAGUGAAAAGGCCCAAGCAACUGUUUAUCAAAAACACAGGCAUCUGCAAAAUC